rnacentral:rRNA from 1 species
CUACGGGCUGCUGCAGGCGCGAAACCUUUACAAUGCACGAAAGUGUGAUAAGGGGAUUCCAAGUGCUUAUACAUAGUAUAGGCUUUUGCCAAGAGUAAAUAUCUUGGCGAAUAAGUGGUGGGCAAGACUGGUGCCAGCCGCCGCGGUAACACCAGCGCCACAAGUGGGAUUCAGAUUUAUUGGGCCUAAAGCGUCCGUAGCCUGUUAUAUAAAUCCUUUGUGAAAUUGUUGGGCUCAACCUAACAACGUGCAUAGGACACUGUAUGACUAGGGACCGGGAGGAGUGUGAGGUAUUCCUAGGGGAGCGGUAAAAUGUUAUAAUCCUUGGAGGACCACCUGUGGCGAAGGCGUCACACUAGAACGGAUCCGACGGUGAGGGACGAAAGCCAGGGGAGCGAUCCGGAUUAGAUACCCUAGUAGUC